AAUACCUAGGAAUCUGCCUGAUAGUGGGGGAUAACGUUCGGAAACGGACGCUAAUACCGCAUAACGUCGCAAGACCAAAGAGGGGGACCUUCGGGCCUCUCACUAUCGGAUGAACCCAGAUGGGAUUAGCUAGUAGGCGGGGUAAUGGCCCACCUAGGCGACGAUCCCUAGCUAGUCUGAGAGGGUGACCAGCCACACUGGAACUGAGACACGGUCCAGACUCCUACGGGAGGCAGCAGUGGGGAAUAUUGCACAAUGGGCGCAAGCCUGAUGCAGCCAUGCCGCGUGUAUGAAGAAGGCCUUCGGGUUGUAAAGUACUUUCAGCGGGGAGGAAGGCGACGGGGUUAAUAACCGCGUCGAUUGACGUUACCCGCAGAAGAAGCACCGGCUAACUCCGUGCCAGCAGCCGCGGUAAUACGGGGGGUGCAAGCGUUAAUCGGAAUUACUGGGCGUAAAGCGCACGCAGGCGGUCUGUUAAGUCAGAUGUGAAAUCCCCGGGCUUAACCUGGGAACUGCAUUUGAAACUGGCAGGCUUGAGUCUUGUAGAGGGGGGUGGAAUUCCAGGUGUAGCGGUGAAAUGCGUAGAGAUCUGGAGGAAUACCGGUG
rnacentral:rRNA from 1 species